rnacentral:lncRNA from 1 species
CUUACAGUCCAAUUUUGAGUUUUUCAUAUCAACAUGAUUGUUUUACGGUCAAUUUUCUAAAUAUUGUUAGUGACUAGCUAUUUCCUAAUUUUGUUUAUUUAGGUUAGAGAGAAUAUGUAAGGCUAAUGUUUGAGCAGAAGGAGAGUGAAAAGAUGCAAGAGUGAUACACCCAAGCACUUGAUUUGAGUCAAACAUGGUUUGUUGUACAGGAUUCCUCCGUAUUUGUCUGCACAAAUAGUGCUUGAUAUUUACUGAUGAUAGUUUUUCUCCAUAGUUCAGUGUCUACAUCUUUAUUUUCCUAAUAUAGUCAUAUUGCCCAUAUAAGUGCAUCUUUUAUUUUGAGUUCUUCCUGGGUGCCACUCUGAAAGCGAAUUCUUCCUAGGUGUAUCAUGCACAUGUAUCUUGCCGUUCUAUAUUCUCAAGUCUCAACUGCAGAUUCUCAAAGGUUUCGGACACCACUUUGACCUGCGACAAAUAUUUGGACUAUUUAUUUAGUGACACUGAUCAUAGCUGUCCGCAGGAUUUAUUCACUCACCAACUCUGGCUUUUGGUGUACACGGUACACCGUGAGGCAAGUAGGUUGACAUUUUCAUCUGUUAUCAUGAGUGUCGUGUUUACUCUUGCAGUUCAGUUAUUAAGCUUAUGCUUAAGCUGAUUGUACUGUCUAGAGGUGGAAUGGCUAAGCUCUCUUUAUAAUCCUUUUACUGAAUAUCUUGCAAAGGGCACACUAAAGGGGAUGAAAGUAUUAGGUGUGGGGGUAUCAGUCCACUAUGUUCUUAUGUCUAUGGAUCCGCGAAAUGUUGACGCUUUAUUGGUUUUGAUCACAAAAAUGUUUGGUCUACAUGCUUUCAUCUUGAAUAUAUGUAGCUCUAAAGUAAUACUACUUCCCAGUUAGUUCAUUGAAGUAAUGAUACAAUCAAUUGGAUGUUUUUCUACUGUUAUGGAUCUAGCAGGAAAAAAGUUGUUUUGAUGUCAUUGUUUUUCACCAUAGUUCAUUGUCAACAUCUUUAUUCUCCUAAUACAGUCAUAUUAUCCAUAUAAGUGCAACUUUUAGUUCGUAAAAGUACUUUGUACUUAGCCCAAUUGAUUUCACUAGAUCCCCUGUUUAUACAGUAUGUAUGAGACACCUUGCAAUUAUUUCACUAGAUCGAUUGAUGAUAGCUUGCUGUUGCAGAUGAAACCGAAGAAACUGUAUCUAUCCUGGGCCAGUUGCCAACCAAGCCAACAUUGUCUCAGUUACCGGUUCAAAGAUGUCUCAAACCAUGCACAAACAUUUCAGUUGAUACAUACGCCAUAAGUUUGGUCGUCUGCUCUUUUAAAUGCCCAGAAGCAUAACUCUCGAGAUCAUUGCAGAGAUCAUUGCUCACUGAACAUAAGACCAGAUGUUCCAAUUUAUUUUAUUGCUCAAAGAAGAAUUGGUGUUCUGUUGUGUUAUCCUGUGACACUAUAAGUUGAUGAUUAAGUUGGGAAUGUCGUUGCGUAUACAGGCAAGCCGAUGGGCUCUUAUGCUGAAGAGCAGAUUAUUCGAGCCAAUGUUGGUUCCCAUCACGCCUUUGAUUGAUCACACAGUGGCUGCUAUCAUGCUCAAGGGGAUGACUGCCCAUAUGCUGGUUCGCCACAUAUUUAAGGUAUAUUUUGUUUUGUUCCUGCUGUCUGACAUACUGACGUCCUAAAGUUAGGAUACAUACAAGGUAAGAUUCUUAUAAUAGGUCUUAUUUUGAAACUUUGAUUGAUUGAAGUACAUAAUUCGAUCCUACUUUGUAAAAUUGAUCAUUACAGAAGUCUUAAUACCAAGAUGUGGUCAGCUUGCAAUCAUGCCAACAAAAAAUCUAAUUUGUCUCUUCAUAGUACUUGUGGUUAAGAAUCGGUUUAUGCUUCCCUUCACAUUGUGGCAUAAUCGACUUUUAACUAAGUAACCCACGUUUUCAUAGAUUUAAAUAGACACUAUCUGGUGUUUUGGUUGCAGCGAGUGGUCUUCAUUAUUCAUUGCGUGUGUCUACAUAUGGACAUUAUAGUACUGAUAUGAGGAAUGAUACCCAAUCGAUUUUAUGCAGGCUUCAUUAGAGUGAUUGGCGUCCUGCGUUUUCCUGCUGUCGUUCGGCAGUC